rnacentral:rRNA from 1 species
UACGGGGGAGCAAGCGUUGUUCGGAUUUACUGGGCGUAAAGGGCGCGUAGGCGGCCAGACAAAGUCGAGCGUUAAAUUCCAGGGCUUAACCCUGGGCUGUUGCUCGAUACUAGUCGGCUAGAGUGUGGAAGAGGGUGCUGGAAUUCCCGGUGUAGCGGUAGAAAUGCGUAGAUAUUGGAAAGACCACCAAUGGCGAAGGCACUCUACUGGGCCAUAACUGACACUGAGAGACGAAAGCUAGGGGAGCAAAUGGG